rnacentral:lncRNA from 1 species
CAACGCAUUCUCAUCAUAUGACCCUUUGGACUUUGAAGUGUUAUCUCCCUGCCAAACACCACCAGGUGGGCUAAGACUAGCUUGGAAGGUUGCAGUUAGAAGCAACCCUAAAAUUACUAGUAAGGCAUUGCGGUCCUCGCCUGAUAUAUUAUCUAUCUCGUGAGAGAUUAGAGAUGAUGCUUUUCUCACUUGUUUCUCCAACUUAUGUUUAAAGUUUGAAACUCCUGGAAUAAAGCAACCACGUAGAACAGUAAUACUGUCUUCAUUAUGAUUCUGGUCUGCAAUAUCCAAUGCCAUCAAACCAGCUUGAUUGGUAGCGUGCUUAUCGGCGUUGCAGUUCAAUAAUAGUUUAAGCAUCUGUUUAAUUGAUAGUUUGAGAUAUAAAAGAACAACAAUCUAUGUCUAUAAAGAUUAAAAAGAAGCUGUAUUGAACUAGAUGAGUCUAACCUCGGGUUGAUUAUGAAAAGCAGCUAAGUGCAGUGCAGUGUUCCCAUCUUCAUCUUUUUGGUUCACCACUUCACGAUAGUAGUCUGUCUUCCUAAGUGUUGGAAGUAGGACUCGAAGAACAUCCAGUCUGUCGUUUUCCACGGCAAUGUGCAAAGCAUUACGAUUCUCAAUUGUAACGUCUCGAAUCGAUUGAGGACAAAUCUCUAGAAAUCUCUCCAACAGACCAUUAUGGUUCCCAACUUCAGUUAUGAUGUGCAAAGGUGUCUUACCAUUCUUUCCUUUGACACGAACUAGAUCUUUAUCAAUUUCCAUUAAACGUAGAACCAUACUUGUAUGCCCUUUUGUAACUGCAAGGUGAAGUGGGGUCAAGCCUUGUUGGUUUAGCUUGCUAGCAAAUGAUGGCUUCAAGCUCAUCAUUUCCAUUGCAAACCUAAUGCAUCCUUCUUCUGCAGCAAUGUGUAAGGGAGUUUCGACAAACUCCACCUCAUCAAAGUGCCUCAAAACAUUUCCAUCUCUUUGGAUUAAACUGUAUAGAUCACUAACAUUUCCUGUAUGAGCUGCUGUUCUCAACCUUUCAUCCAUAUCAGGCGGAAGAAUGAAUUGACAAAAGAAAAUUUGAAAGAGCUGAAGCCCACUUACAGUGUUGACUACUAUUUUAAAGAUCGCUGCUGCUUUUGUUUAUAAAUAAAGCGGAAAAGGGAAUCUUUCAACUCCGCGUGCUUAUUAUUUUAAAGAAAGUUGCAUUUGUCUAAAUUUUUCAUACUAAAGCAAAAGCCUAUUAACAUGAUUAACUACACUUUUUUAAUGCUCACGAAAACAUACAUCUCGAAUGCAAUUGUUUUUCAUUCACAAUUAUUCCAUUAUUAUUUUUAUAUACUACAAGUUUAAACUGACACACCUAUGUACGCACACGCUACUAAUAUGUGAACUUGUGGAUUUGAGCCUUGAUAUCGAGCAUAAAUGAACUCACUUCAAUCAAUGGGCUUACGACCUGGGUUGACCCUAUUGAUUUUUCGAUUGCUAAAAAGUUUAUCAAUAGGGUUUAAAAUAAGAUCUUACUAUAUGGUGGGAUUUAAAUAAAUAAGGUGGUUAAAAGAUAGAAAUCAAGAUACGUGACUAUCUAAUCAAACAACAUCAAAAACACUAAAAUUGUAUUGAUGAUGACUUCAAUCUUGUUAAAUGAGUUACUUAAUAUGUCACUUUUUAAAAAAAAAUUAAUACUUUUAGUGUUGAAAACCAUUUAAAGUAUUAAAAUCGAUUGAAUUAAUUAAAAAUUAAACUCAAAAUUUUCAAUGCAAAUAACAUGAUGAACAAUAAUCUUGACAUAAUCAACUAUAGACUGAAGUCAUUUUUUCUUCCUUAUUUCAAUGUUAAUUUAAACUUUUAAAUAGAUGCCACUCAAAAUUAAUACGUUCACUAAAAUGAUUUUCUUUUUCUAAAAAAGAAAAAAUAAAUAAAGUGAAAAUGAAGAAAAACCCACUGUAUAUUUUCUUUUUUAAAACCAAAAGGAAAAAAUGAGCUCACUACCAGCGGUAGAAAAUACUAGAAAAAGGAAGGGAACAAACUCAUUGCCAAGAUCCAAAAAAAUAUAUCCAACUAAAUAACUCAAUUUAAAAUAUAAAAUUUAACAUUUAUAUUUAAUAUAAUAAAAUAUUUAUUAUAUUUAUUUGUGUUUUUAAUAUAAUAAAAGAUUUAUUAUAUUUAUGGUAGUGUUUUUUAAUAUAAAUACUUUUUAAUGUGUUAGAAAACUUUUAUUUUAACCUCUUUUUUUUAGUGCAUUUAGUGUAUUAUAUUUUUCUAAAAUUUAUUUUUAAAUAAAAAUUAAUCUAAACAAAUCAAAUAUGGGUGGGUCAGGUCAGGCCCAGGUUUACUAUUAUUAAAUUAGGCCGGACUUAGACAAUAAAAUAAAUCCAUUUUCCCGAUCGAGCCUAGACUUAAAAAAGUUAUCUAAAUACCUUACAUAGGCUUGACCCAUAAGCACAUAUAAUGACUACCCAUACUUUUUUAAUGUUCAUUAAAACAUUUUUCUCUAAUGCAAUUGUCUUUCCUUUAUAAAAUUAUCACAUUAUUAUUUUCAUAUAAUACAAGCUUAAACUUACACACCAACGUACGCACACACUAAUAUAUAGGUGAACUUGUGGAUCGAACCAUGAUAUGAAUGAACUCACUUCAACCAAUGGACCUAUUGCUUGAGUUAACUCCAUUGUUUUUUUAUUGGUAAAGAGUUUACCAAUAAAGUUUAAAAUAAGAUCUUAUUAUAGUGGGAUCUUGUGAGAUUCUUUUUAAAUCAACAGCUGCGAUUAAAAGAUAAAAAUAAAGAUACUAUAAUUAUCUGAUCAAGCCAUGUCAAAAUUCGAAAAAAUAUUGUUUGAUAGUAAUAGAAUACACCAAUAAACUUUUCAAAAGUACUUUUUAAAACUCCUUUUUCACUCCACUUUCCAACAUCAACAGUAAAUUAACUCUUUUAUUACAUUUUUUUUUCAAUAAAUCUCCAAGAUUGAAAAUUAAUUAAGGAGAUUUUUUAAAAGGAAGAAAUAAAUAAAUCGAGGCAAAGUUGAGUACACGAGAAAUCACUUUUAUGGGCUAUAUCUAGACAUGAUCAUGGGUCGGUCACCUGUCCAAGUCCAAAGGCCCACUCGAAAAGUAGGAGGGAUUGGGCAAAAAUAUAUGCCAGAAAAAUGUGCUUGGACAAAAAAGGGCUCGGCUUCGGGUAAUACUUUUUGGCUUGGGCCCAACCCAAAUUUUCCAAAAAUUUUCAUUGUUUUGUUGUUGUUGGCUGCCAAUAUUAUAUUGCUAAUAUUUCGUUGUUAUUAUUUAGAUAUUGUAUAAUUCUUAUUUUAUUAUAAAUUUUGCUAAUAUUUUAGAGGCAUUUGCUUCUUAAGUUGUAACUAUCUGAGUGUUAUUUAAGUAUAAUGACCUUUUUUUUUAAUGUGUUUUUAAAUUGUUGGGAAACAUAUAUUUUAAUAUUUUUAGUAUAUUUGAUUAUAUUUUUUUAAACAUGUUUUUAUAUAAAAAAGUUCAAUACAGGUAGACUGGUUCGACCUCGGGUUUAGUAUUCAUUAUCUAAGUUGAGUUUGGACAAAAUUUUAGGCCCAUUUUUGGGUCAGGCCCAAGUCUAAAAAAUAUUCUAAAAUUUUAUAUUCACCUGACGUGGCUCAAGAUUAGGUUUAGCUACAACGAAUCCCACAACAAAAAUCCAAUCAAAAUAACAUUGAUGAAUCAAAGGAGACAAAAGGGAUUGAGAUGAACAUUGUUUUGAUUAUUCUCUUUGGUACAAAGAUAGCUACACUCUAUGAAUAAGAAACCGGUUUAGACAGACUCUAAAUAGAAAAAAGGAAAACCAGCACCCAAAGACAAUACAAUACGUAAAAUCCCGUGUAAGCGUGCUCAUGGCUAAACAGUAUGCUGCAACUAGAAUAGUUCCUUUCCAGAAUUCAUCAUGUAGGAAAAGGAAUAACCAAACUCCCUGAAUUACAUUUGGUAAAACUGAACUUUUCAUAUAAUAAUGCAACGCAAAUGAAGCGGAUAACCGACAUCCCAGAAUUGCAACACUAAGUUUCGACACCCGAGAAGUGGAAACCAUGAGCACCGUUAAAAUAAAAACCAAAACCGAAAAUACAGCCAUAACACUAGUUGUGAACCUGGUUGGCGCUAUGAAACUUACUGAUAGGUCGAAGGACAUUGCGAAGAAAGCAAGUAAGACUUGAAGUGCUGUUCUGAAACAAUGGGGAUAAGGUUUAAGCAAGGCUAAUGUUAAGAAAAAGGUUACGAUGAAGACAAGAUAAGUUGGAAUAUAGUAAAAAAGAAAAUUAAAUUCAUCUAAGAUUGAUUUACCCAACGCCAUCUCAUCAUAUGACCCUUCGGACUUUGAAGUGUUAUCUCCCUGCCAAACACCACCAGGUGGGCUAAGACUAGCUUGGAAGGUUGCAGUUAGAAGCAACCCUAAAAUUACUAGUAAGGCAUUGCGGUCCUCGCCUGAUAUAUUAUCUAUCUCGUGAGAGAUUAGAGAUGAUGCUUUUCUCACUUGUUUCUCCAAA